UACGUAGGGGGCAAGCGUUGUCCGGAAUUAUUGGGCGUAAAGCGCGCGCAGGCGGCGGAUUAAGUCUAGUGUAUAAGGCCGAGGCUCAACCUCGGUUCGCACUGGAAACUGAUGCGCUUGAGUGUAGGAGAGGAAAGUGGAAUUCCACGUGUAGCGGUGAAAUGCGUAGAGAUGUGGAGGAACACCAGUGGCGAAGGCGACUUUCUGGCCUAUAACUGACGCUGAGGCGCGAAAGCGUGGGGAGCAAACAGG
rnacentral:rRNA from 1 species